AUAUUUUAUUCUACCUUUUUAUGUUUUAUCCUAGCUAUGAGUGAACGCUAGUAAUCUACUUUACACAUGCAAGUCUAUAUAUAUUUAGAAUUUAAAUAUAUGGGCGUAACGGUGAGUAAAAUAUAAAUCACAUGAUCAAUAGUAUUUAUUAAGUUUAAUUAAAUAUAUAUAUUAAAUUUUUUAUUUAUAAAUUUCAUUUAUAAAUAAAGAAAUUAUUGUUAUGGUUUAUAAAGAUUUAGGUAGUUGGUAUUUUAAUAGAUUACCAAGCCGAGAAUUCUUAGUUGGUCUUGGAGGGCGUACAACCACAUUGGGGAUGGAAAAAGACCCAAGUUCUAUUUAGAGGCUGCAGUGAGGAAUAUUGAACAAUGAGCGAAAGCUUGAUUCAGUAAGAUUAUAUGAAUGAUGAAACAACUUUGAUUUGUGUAAAAUUCUUUAAUAAAUGAAAAUAAUGACAGUAUAUUUAUAAAAUCAGCAUCGACUAACCUCGUGCCAGCAGUCGCGGUGAUACGGGGGAUGCGGGUGUUAUUCAGCAUUAUUGGGCGUAAAGUGUAUCAAGGUGGUUUUAAUAAUUUUAUUUUAAAUAUUAUAGUAAGCACUAUUUUUAGAUAUUUUAUUUUAAAACUAAGAAUAUAAAUCAAGUUUACAGUAUUUGUAAAGGAAAGGUGAAAUUUUAUGAUAUUACAAAGACUAACAAAAGACGAAGGUUGUAAGCUAGAGUAUAUUGACGCUUUAUUACGAAGGCAUAGGGAGCAAAAAGGAUUAGAUACCCUAUUAGUCUAUGCUGUCAACAAUGGGUGUUGUCUUUAAAAGAAUUUUUGGAGACAAGUUAACGCGUAAACACCCCGCCUGGGGAGUAUGAUCGCAAGAUUCGAACUCAAAGGAAGUGGCUGAGUUACGGUACUAACGGUGGAACAUGUGGUUUAAUCUGAUACAACGCAUCAAAUCUUACCAAUUUUAGUAUAAAAUUUUAUAGUUGUUAAUUUAUUCAACGUAUAAGUUCUUUCUUUCUAUAACAUUAAGUUAGACAAAAAUUUUAUGCAGGUGUUGCAUGGCUGUCGUCAGUUCGUGUUGUGAAAUGUAUGGUUUAGUCCUAUAACGAACGUAAUCCUUAUAUUAUAUUUAUUAAAUUUUAAUAAUCUAACCUACAGGGGAUCUUUUGAAAUAGGAGGACGUCAAGUAGGCAUGACCCUCAUAAAUUGGGCUACACACGUGUUACAAAAGUAAUUACAAAAAAUAAAUAUAUUGAAAAAUAUGUUAAAUAACAAAUGUUACUUUAGUUCGGAUUAUUUUUUGAAAUCUAAAAAUAUGAAGUUGAAAUCGUCAGUAAUCGAAAAUCAGAAUGUUUCGGUGAAAUGGGAUCUGUAACUAGUACACACCGCCCGUCACGCCAAGAAAGUUAUUUAUAUUGGAAAAAUUGAUAAAUUUCAUUUAAUAAAAAAAUAUUUAAUAUUUAGUAUAAUUUAUUAUUAUAUUUUUUAGAAAUUUAAAAUUUAUUAGUUUGAAUAUAUAUUUAGUAAUUAGGGUGAAGUCGUAACAUGGUAGUGGUAGGGGAACCUGCUGCUGGAUCGAAUGUAUAGUUAUAAAAAAGUUAUUUUUUAUUAAUUAUAAAAAUAAUUUUCAAUAUGAAAAUUUAAUAUUAUAUUACAUUUAGUUAAAAAGUUAAAUAAAAAAUAA
rnacentral:rRNA from 1 species